UCCAAAUUUGGUGCCAGAAGACUCGGUAAGGCCAGAGACGCGAACGUUAAUCGUCCUAACCAGGCGUAAAGGGUAAGUAGGCAGCUUUAAAAGUUUUAAUUAUAACAGCUCUACUUAGUUUAAUACUAAGAAUAGAUAAUUAAAAUCGAAUAUAAGCUAGAAUCUUAUAGAGGAUAAACCAAAUAAUACUUAGAGUAAGGAUGAUAUCUUUAGAUACUAAGGGGAAUACUAACGGUGAAAGCUUUUUAUCUAAUAAUGAUUGACGCUGAGGAACGAAGGUGAGAAUAGGAAAUAGGAUUAGAUACCCAGAUACCUCUCACUGUCAACGAUGAAUGGUGGUUAGA
rnacentral:rRNA from 1 species